GACGAACGCUGGCGGCGUGCUUAACACAUGCAAGUCGAACGGAAAGGCCCUUCGGGGUACUCGAGUGGCGAACGGGUGAGUAACACGUGGGUGAUCUGCCCUGCACUUUGGGAUAAGCCUGGGAAACUGGGUCUAAUACCGAAUACACCCUGCUGGUCGCAUGGCCUGGUGGGGGAAAGCUUUUGCGGUGUGGGAUGGGCCCGCGGCCUAUCAGCUUGUUGGUGGGGUGAUGGCCUACCAAGGCGACGACGGGUAGCCGGCCUGAGAGGGUGUCCGGCCACACUGGGACUGAGAUACGGCCCAGACUCCUACGGGAGGCAGCAGUGGGGAAUAUUGCACAAUGGGCGCAAGCCUGAUGCAGCGACGCCGCGUGAGGGAUGACGGCCUUCGGGUUGUAAACCUCUUUCAGCACAGACGAAGCGCAAGUGACGGUAUGUGCAGAAGAAGCACCGGCCAACUACGUGCCAGCAGCCGCGGUAAUACGUAGGGUGCGAGCGUUGUCCGGAAUUACUGGGCGUAAAGAUCUCGUAGGUGGUUUGUCGCGUUGUUCGUGAAAACUCACAGCUUAACUGUGGGCGUGCGGGCGAUACGGGCAGACUAGAGUACUGCAGGGGAGACUGGAAUUCCUGGUGUAGCGGUGGAAUGCGCAGAUAUCAGGAGGAACACCGGUGGCGAAGGCGGGUCUCUGGGCAGUAACUGACGCUGAGGAGCGAAAGCGUGGGGAGCGAACAGGAUUAGAUACCCUGGUAGUCCACGCCGUAAACGGUGGGUACUAGGUGUGGGUUUCCUUCCUUGGGAUCCGUGCCGUAGCUAACGCAUUAAGUACCCCGCCUGGGGAGUACGGCCGCAAGGCUAAAACUCAAAGGAAUUGACGGGGGCCCGCACAAGCGGCGGAGCAUGUGGAUUAAUUCGAUGCAACGCGAAGAACCUUACCUGGGUUUGACAUGCACAGGACGCCGGCAGAGAUGUCGGUUCCCUUGUGGCCUGUGUGCAGGUGGUGCAUGGCUGUCGUCAGCUCGUGUCGUGAGAUGUUGGGUUAAGUCCCGCAACGAGCGCAACCCUUGUCUCAUGUUGCCAGCACGUUAUGGUGGGGACUCGUGAGAGACUGCCGGGGUCAACUCGGAGGAAGGUGGGGAUGACGUCAAGUCAUCAUGCCCCUUAUGUCCAGGGCUUCACACAUGCUACAAUGGCCGGUACAAAGGGCUGCGAUGCCGUGAGGUGGAGCGAAUCCUUUCAAAGCCGGUCUCAGUUCGGAUCGGGGUCUGCAACUCGACCCCGUGAAGUCGGAGUCGCUAGUAAUCGCAGAUCAGCAACGCUGCGGUGAAUACGUUCCCGGGCCU
rnacentral:rRNA from 1 species